rnacentral:lncRNA from 1 species
AAAAUUUGAAUUAAAGGCGUGUCAGGUUCGCUUCUUUGGUUCCCUUUUUUUUCACCAUCGAACCAGAAUUGAAAUGGACGAUCCGUUUGUGACUGUUUGGUUCGUGAAAAUCCUAUUCCGAUUUCAAUUCUCGAGUGGAGUGGGAAUCCUUCAAUCACCACUUUCAAAGGCCGAAUUCGGACGAAAUAGAUAUUUAUUCAGAUUAAAUUUAUUUUUUUAACUUUUUUAAUUAAAAUAUAAGUUUAAAUUCAGAAAUUAAAUUUAUGAUUUUAAAUAUUAAUUUGAAUUUGAAUUAAAAAUUAAAAAUUAAUCAAGUAUUUCGAAUCUAACUUAUGAAUUUCAAUUUAAAUUAAAUUUUAAUUUAUAUAGUUUUAUUUAAAUUUUAUUUAAAACUUAAAUUAAAUUUAGGGAUUCAAAUUAAAAUUUAAAUUGUAAUUUAAAAUUUGAAUUUGAAUAAAUAUAUUAUAAAGAUAAAGUUAAUAUAUUAAUUUGAUUACGUUUUUUAUCUACCUGAACUAAACAACGAUAAUAAAAAUGAUUUAUUCCGAUUCCGAUUCUGAUUCAAGUAAUUGACCAAACAAAAUUAGGUAAUGGGUCAUUCCGAUUCCGAUUCCAGUUUAUUUCAAUUUCGAUUCUGAUUUCAAUUCUGACUUCGAACCAAACGCGCCCUAAUUUCAAACGUGGCCAUCAAAAUUUAAAAAAACAUAUAUUAGGCAUACUCUUCAAAUUUGUAAAUUUUAUUAAUAUUAUCCCUAUAAAUUUACAAAGGCCAAUUUGCAUAAAAAAUCCACUAGUUUUGCACUUUUGCAAAAGUGGGCCAUCUUUUUCGAUUUUACAGAUUCGGGUCGAAUUUUCAGCAAACUGACCAAAAUACCCUGUACCUUUUUCUCUCUUCUCUUUUUUUCGCUCGUUCUUUUUUUUUUUCUCUUCCCAGAGAGCGGCGGAGGCAGAGACGGAGGCGGAGACAGCCCCCUUCGAUUUUGUUCGGUGUAUCCUUACCCUUGCCUGCGCACAUCCCCCACCUUCCUCGCCUCCGAUCCCGCUCAGGCUACGCUGCGACUUUUUUUUUCCCGUCCCCGACCCUCCUCUACCGCCUUCGACGAUGACGCCUAUCUCACCAUCUCUCGCCUUUUCUCUCUCCCUCCUCCUCCGCCUCCUCCGCCGCUUCCGAUGACGGCAUUGACG